rnacentral:ribozyme from 2 species
ACAUUAACUCGCCACAGUAAAUGUGAACGGUCCCAAGUCCGUAAAAAAAGUAGGAGGGGUGU